rnacentral:lncRNA from 1 species
AGAACACUCUUAGCACCCUACAAGCAGGUAUGUGCUUACCAGCAAACUAAAGCAAAUGGAAAUUAUGAAGCAUGAUCGCCACUAGCGAGGUGCUGCUGAACUAUAAGGCUUCAGAUGGUCAGAUAAAGUACCUGAUGCUGAAAAACAGGAAAUUGAAUCUUGUCUCCAAAAUGUGCCUUUUGUCAUGCACUGUUACAGCUAUAUUUCUUGGAAGUGAAUCUUGCCAGAUUGUGGCAUGGCACUCAACUCAUCAAAGAAGCCAGUGAGUUCCAGUCUGGCACUGUGAGAAUUGCAGAAGAAAUCUCAAACUUGGCCCCUGCCUCCAAGAAGCUGACAAUGGGUAAGUCAACCG